rnacentral:rRNA from 1 species
UACGGGGGGGGCAAGCGUUGUUCGGAAUUACUGAGCGUAAAGGGCCAGUAGGCGGCCAACUAAGUCCGACGUGAAAUCCCCAGGCUUAACCUGGGAACUGCGUCGGAUACUGGAUGGCUUGAAUUCGGGAGAGGGAUGCAGAAUUCCUGGUGUAGCGGUGAAAUGCGUAGAGAUCAGGAGGAACACCCGUGGCGAAGGCGGCUCUCUGGGACGGUACUGACGCUGAGACGCGAAAGCGUGGGGAGCGAACAGG